UACGAGGGGGGCAAGCGUUGUUCGGAAUUAUUGGGCGUAAAGGGUGCGUAGGCGGUUUGGUAAGUCUGAUGUGAAAUCUAUGGGCUCAACUCAUAGUCUGCAUCGGAAACUGCCGGGCUUGAGUGUGGGAGAGGUGAGUGGAAUUCCUGGUGUAGCGGUGAAAUGCGUAGAUAUCAGGAGGAACACCUGUGGCGAAAGCGGCUCACUGGACCAUAACUGACGCUGAUGCAGAAAGCUAGGGGAGCAAACAGGA
rnacentral:rRNA from 1 species